rnacentral:rRNA from 1 species
ACAUGCAAGUCGAACGAUGAAGAGCAGCUUGCUGCUUGGAUUAGUGGCGCACGGGUGAGUAAUAUAUAGGUAAUGUGCCUCUUAGUCUGGGAUAGCCAUUGGAAACGAUGAUUAAUACUGGAUACUCCUUCUAACUCUAAUGUUAGUCGGGAAAGUUUUUCGCUAAGAGAUCAGCCUAUAUCCCAUCAGUUAGUUGGUAAGGUAACGGCUUACCAAGGCAAUGACGGGUAGCGGGUUUGAGAGGAUGAUCCGCCACACUGGUACUGAGACACGGACCAGACUCCUACGGGAGGCAGCAGUGAGGAAUAUUGCACAAUGGGGGAAACCCUGAUGCAGCAACGCCGCGUGGAGGAUGACGCAUUUCGGUGUGUAAACUCCUUUUAUAUGUCAAGAAAAUGACGGUAGCAUAUGAAUAAGCACCGGCUAACUCCGUGCCAGCAGCCGCGGUAAUACGGAGGGUGCAAGCGUUACUCGGAAUCACUGGGCGUAAAGGACGCGUAGGCGGAUUGGAAAGUCAGAUGUGAAAUCCUACAGCUUAACUGUAGAACUGCAUUUGAAACUUCUAAUCUAGAGUAUGGGAGGGGGAGAUGGAAUUAGUGGUGUAGGGGUAAAAUCCGUAGAUAUCACUAGGAAUACCGAAAGCGAAGGCGAUCUCCUGGAACAUUACUGACGCUAAGGCGUGAAAGCGUGGGGAGCAAACAGGAUUAGAUACCCUGGUAGUCCACGCCCUAAACGAUGAACACUAGUCGUCGGGAUGCUUGUCAUCUCGGUGAUGCACUUAACAGAUUAAGUGUUCCGCCUGGGGAGUAC